rnacentral:rRNA from 1 species
GAACGCUGGCGGCGUGCUUAACACAUGCAAGUCGAGCGGUAAGGCCCUUCGGGGUACACGAGCGGCGAACGGGUGAGUAACACGUGGGUGAUCUGCCUCGUACUCUGGGAUAAGCCUGGGAAACUGGGUCUAAUACCGGAUAUGACCACGAAUCGCAUGGUUUGUGGUGGAAAGAUUUAUCGGUGCGAGAUGGGCCCGCGGCCUAUCAGCUUGUUGGUGGGGUAAUGGCCUACCAAGGCGACGACGGGUAGCCGGCCUGAGAGGGCGACCGGCCACACUGGGACUGAGACACGGCCCAGACUCCUACGGGAGGCAGCAGUGGGGAAUAUUGCACAAUGGGCGGAAGCCUGAUGCAGCGACGCCGCGUGAGGGAUGACGGCCUUCGGGUUGUAAACCUCUUUCGACAGGGACGAAGCGCAAGUGACGGUACCUGUAGAAGAAGCACCGGCCAACUACGUGCCAGCAGCCGCGGUAAUACGUAGGGUGCGAGCGUUGUCCGGAAUUACUGGGCGUAAAGAGCUUGUAGGCGG